UACGUAGGGUGCAAGCGUUAAUCGGAAUUACUGGGCGUAAAGCGUGCGCAGGCGGUUGUGCAAGACAGAUGUGAAAUCCCCGGGCUUAACCUGGGAAUUGCAUUUGUGACUGCACGGCUAGAGUGUGUCAGAGGGGGGUAGAAUUCCACGUGUAGCAGUGAAAUGCGUAGAUAUGUGGAGGAAUACCGAUGGCGAAGGCAGCCCCCUGGGAUAACACUGACGCUCAUGCACGAAAGCGUGGGGAGCAAGCAGG
rnacentral:rRNA from 1 species